rnacentral:rRNA from 1 species
AUUGAACGCUGGCGGCAGGCUUAACACAUGCAAGUCGAGCGGGGAAAGGUAGCUUGCUACCUGACCUAGCGGCGGACGGGUGAGUAAUGCUUAGGAAUCUGCCUAUUAGUGGGGGACAACAUCUCGAAAGGGAUGCUAAUACCGCAUACGUCCUACGGGAGAAAGCAGGGGACCUUCGGGCCUUGCGCUCAUAGAUGAGCCUAAGUCGGAUUAGCUAGUUGGUGGGGUAAAGGCCUACCAAGGCGACGAUCUGUAGCGGGUCUGAGAGGAUGAUCCGCCACACUGGGACUGAGACACGGCCCAGACUCCUACGGAAGGCAGCAGUGGGGAAUAUUGGACAAUGGGGGGAGCCCUGAUCCAGCCAUGCCGCGUGUGUGAAGAAGGCCGUUUGGUUGUAAAGCACUUUAAGCGAGGAGGAGGCUACAGAGAUUAAUACUCUUGGAUAGUGGACGUUACUCGCAGAAUAAGCACCGGCUAACUCUGUG